CCCGUACCGUCCAAAUUAACCUUAAAAUUAGAACCCGAUGACCGUCCAAAUUAGAUGCAUGCAGUUGAGCGGCUGACUCGAUGAGCAUUGAUUUAGAUGCCAGACACUAACAACACCAACCCUCUCUUCUUAAACCCACUUUCACUCUCUUAUUUAGGGUUCAAAACUGCAUUCUCUCACUACCGCCGUUGAUGUGCAAUCUGCCUUGCCUGGAUGCUUGACGCAGCUUCUGUGCUGUGGAACCGUUGAGGAUCUAAUGCCACGGAGAUGCUCGAUCAUCACUUUCAAUUCUUCACCAUCUAUCAAUUGUGAAUUUCUCUGAUUAAUUACAUUACAAUAGGUAACUAUUUAUUUAUUUGUACUGAUUUAGUGUUUUAAGUAAUUGUUUUUACAUUAUUUCUUAAACUACAAUUCACUUGCUAUGUUGUCAUCUUUUUCUUCCCAUCCCCUCCGUUGCCAUAGUAUUUUUGGGUCCAAUGUUUGCUUAGCAGAAUAUCUCUAGUGAUUUAUGCUUUAUUGUGAACACAUAAUUAUUAAGGUUUCAUUUGUUUUAUUUUUGGUUUUUUGGAAUUUUUUGUUCUAAUUUGAAGUUUGAUUGAAACAUAUUCUGUUAGGAGAUUCUAAUCUGUAUCUUAUUUGGGGUUGAGAUAGAAAUAGGUAUUGUUAUGAUAUUCAUACUCUCUUUUCAGAUUAUAUUUAUUCGGUUCAUGCUCUUUUAUGUUUGGUGAUGCCAAUUUGUGGCCAUGCAUUGUGCUUAAGUUAUGUAAUUCUCAUAGUUUAUCCAUUGUGUUUGCUACGACUGUUUGGUCCUUGCAAUCAUGUCAAUUUUAAGGUUGUGCAUUGUGGUGUUGAUACUACAACUGUGUAUUCGAUUGUGUUGCACAGACUUGCAAAAUAAACACUAGCGAAAUAGUAUGAGAUGUAGUGAUUGUGGUGUUGUCAAUCAAUCUUUCUGUAAUAUGUCAACCCCCAAGAUUUAAGAGACCAUUCUCAAUUAAAAUCGAGGCCACAUAACUAGCGAGCAUACUUUUGCAUUAUAAGCGUAAGAAAAACGUUUAAAAAAAAAUAUCAUAUAGAGAAAUCCACUUCCCACAUCUAAAAAUACCUAGAAAGACCAUUAUACUAUUUAUAAAGUUGAAAAAUUUCUUUUCACCUCACUUCUUCAUUAACUCAUUCGAGACAUUCAAAACUUUUGCCAAAAUUUCCUAACAACUAGAAAUUUUUUGAAACAUAAGUGAGUUUUUGUGAACUUUCAAACUUUUGAAAUGCAAUUUUUCAACUAUAUUUUGAAUGUUUAGUUCAUUUUGAAACUUUUGAAAUACUAUUUUCGAGAUAUUUUCAAAAGUUUCUAAACAUGUUAAAAGUUCAAAAGUUUCAAGACAUGGUAAAAGUUCUGAAAUGCAAAUUUUUUUAGAAAAUGAAAUUAUCAAAACUUUUGAUAAACAUGAAACAUUCAUGAUAAGGCUAACCAUCCACCCUAUCCACAUCGCCGACAAGACACACACUCGAGUCUAGGCGAAGUAUGUUACUUUAUUCACCAAUUUUGAGCAUUGUCUAGACUAUGCAUAAAGUGCAUCUGCAUUGGUUGUGCUAUAUGACAAUCUCAGACAUCAAACUAUUCAUGACACGAGGCAAUUUGGAGGAUAUAUGAGCAUGUUCCAGUGUUGGAUUUACGAGCACUUUUCUAAAAUUUAUAAGCGAGGGGACAAUGCAAGUGUACCUAAACAUACUCACAGAGCUUGUACGUGGACUGUCAAACAUGUCGUCGAAGGUGGAUUGAUAGUGUAUCGACUGAGGCUUGAUAAUGUAGUAUUCACACAAUACAAUGAUGACUGGGUCAACUGAUGACAAUGUACUCGGGCUAAGCGAUGUCUUUGAUAGUUUGUGAUAGUUUGACUGCAUUCAAUGUGCGAUGUUCCUUUUGUGUCAACUAGUAUAGAUUAAAAAUUUCCUAAUACUUUGAGGGCAUGUAUACCUCGCCUCUAGCGAUGUUUUUUUGUGAGGUGUCAGAUAGCUAUUAUGACUCUACUUACGUGGGUCCAUCACUACAUGUUCCACCAUUUUCUGUACAAGUUGGUCUAUCACUUCAGCACUCUAGAACAUGUGAGCUUUUAAAGAGGGUCAUACAAAUAGUAAAUUGAGAUGGUGAAGUUCAUGAGAUAUUAUGGAAAUUACUACACAUAUUAUAUGGUGGCUAUUAGUAGACUGUUUAAUAGUUUGUAUUA